rnacentral:rRNA from 1 species
GACGAACGCUGGCGGCGUGCUUAACACAUGCAAGUCGAACGGAAAGGCCCUGCUUUUGUGGGGUGCUCGAGUGGCGAACGGGUGAGUAACACGUGAGUAACCUGCCCUUGACUUUGGGAUAACUUCAGGAAACUGGGGCUAAUACCGGAUAGGAGCUCCUGCUGCAUGGUGGGGGUUGGAAAGUUUCGGCGGUUGGGGAUGGACUCGCGGCUUAUCAGCUUGUUGGUGGGGUAGUGGCUUACCAAGGCUUUGACGGGUAGCCGGCCUGGGAGGGUGGACGGGCACAAUGGGACUGAGGUACGGCCCAGACUCCUACGGGGGGCAACAGGGGGGAAUAUUGCACAAUGGGCGGAAGCCUGAUGAAGCAACCCCGCGUGCGGGAUGACGGCCUUCGGGUUGGAAACCGCUUUCGCCUGUGACGAAGCGUGAGUGACGGUAAUGGGUAAAGAAGCACCGGCUAACUACGUG